rnacentral:misc_RNA from 2 species
AACGCACAUUGCGCCUCCUGGUAUUCCGGGAGGCAUGCCUGUUCGAGCGUCAUUAAAAACCACUCAAGCUCUUUUGCUUGGUAUUGGGAGAUGAGUAUACUUUUCCUAGUUUACUCACUUUCGAAAUUCAAAGGCGUAGAGCCCCACAUACCACAGCGUAGUAAGUUUUCUUUCGCUUGGAGUGUGAGGUGAUAUUGCCACAAACCCCCAAUUAUUUUCUAGGUUGACCUCGGAUCAGGUAGGGAUACCCGCUGAACUUAA